GUAAGGAGCGGUGGACUGAUUACGAGUGAGAAUGUUGGCAUUAGUAGCGAGAUGUGGGUGAGAAUCCCACAGGCCGAAUAUCUAAGGUUUCCUCAGGAAGGUUCGUCCGCUGAGGGUUAGUCGGGACCUAAGCCGAGGCCGAAAGGCGUAGGCGAUGGACAAUCGGUUGAUAUUCCGAUACCACUACUGAUCGUUAUUAUCGAUGGUGUGACGGAGAAGGAUAGAGUGUGCUAGCUAUUGGAUGCUAGUCUAAGCGUUUAGGGAGUUAGGAAAGGCAAAUCCGUCCUAACAAUUCUGAGGCGUGAUGGGGAAGGUUCUACGGAACCGAAGUACUUGAUUCCAUGCUUCCAAGAAAAGCAUCUAGAGAGAGAUGUAGUGCCCGUACCGCAAACCGACACAGGUAGAUGAGGAGAGAAUCCUAAGGCCGGCGGAAGAAUCACAGUUAAGGAACUAGGCAAAUUGACCCCGUAACUUAGGGAGAAGGGGUGCCUGUGAGAGCAGGCCGCAGAGAAUAGGCCCAAGCAACUGUUUAGCAAAAACACAGGUCUCUGCUAAAGCGUAAGCUGAUGUAUAGGGGCUGACGCCUGCCCGGUGCUGGAAGGUUAAGGGGAACACUUAGCGCAAGCGAAGGUGUGAACUUAAGCCCCAGUAAACGGCGGCCGUAACUAUAACGGUCCUAAGGUAGCGAAAUUCCUUGUCGGGUAAGUUCCGACCCGCACGAAAGGCGUAACGAUUUGGGCACUGUCUCAACAACAGACUCGGUGAAAUUGUAAUUCCGGUGAAGAUGCCGGAUACCUGCGACAGGACGGAAAGACCCCAUGGAGCUUUACUGUAGCUUGACAUUGGGUCUUGGUACUACAUGUACAGGAUAGGUGGGAGGCUUUGAAACCAGGACGCCAGUUUUGGCGGAGCCAUCCUUGGGAUACCACCCUUGUAGUACUGGGACUCUAACCAUAGGCCAUGAAUCUGGUCUUGGGACACUGUCAGGUGGGCAGUUUGACUGGGGCGGUCGCCUCCCAAAAGGUAACGGAGGCGCUCAAAGGUUCUCUCAGUACGGUCGGAAAUCGUACGUAGAGUGUAAAGGCAAAAGAGAGCUUGAUUGCAAGACAUACAGGUCGAGCAAGGAUGAAAAUCGGACUUAGUGAUCCGGUGGUUCUGCGUGGAAGGGCCAUCGCUCAACGGAUAAAAGCUACCCUGGGGAUAACAGGCUUAUCUCCCCCAAGAGUCCACAUCGACGGGGAGGUUUGGCACCUCGAUGUCGGCUCAUCACAUCCUGGGGCUGUAGUAGGUCCCAAGGGUUGGGCUGUUCGCCCAUUAAAGUGGUACGCGAGCUGGGUUCAGAACGUCGUGAGACAGUUCGGUCCCUAUCCGUCGCAGGCGUAGGAAAUUUGAGAAGACCUGUCCUUAGUACGAGAGGACCGGGAUGGACGUACCUCUGGUGUACCAGUUGUUCUGCCAAGGGCAUGGCUGGGUAGCUAUGUACGGAAUGGAUAAGCGCUGAAAGCAUCUAAGCGCGAAGCCAACUUCAAGAUAAGAUUUCCCACCGCAAGGGUAAGACCCCAGAAAGACUAUCUGGUUGAUAGGUCGAAGGUGUAAGUGCAGCAAUGUAUUUAGCUUAUCGAUACUAAUAGGUCGAGGACUUGACCAA
rnacentral:rRNA from 1 species